UACAGAGGGUGCAAGCGUUGUUCGGAAUUACUGGGCGUAAAGGGUUCGUAGGCGGGAAGAUAAGUUGGAUGUGAAACCUCUGGGCUUAACCCAGAACGUGCAUCCAAAACUGUCUUUCUUGAGUACCGGAGAGGGUUGUGGAAUUGCUGGUGUAGGAGUGACAUCCGUAGAGAUCAGCAGGAACACCGGAGGCGAAAGCGACAACCUGGUCGAGUACUGACGCUGAGGAACGAAAGCGUGGGGAGCAAACAGG
rnacentral:rRNA from 1 species